rnacentral:rRNA from 1 species
UGGGGAAUAUUGCACAAUGGGCGCAAGCCUGAUGCAGCCAUGCCGCGUGUAUGAAGAAGGCCUUCGGGUUGUAAAGUACUUUCAGUCGGGAGGAAGGUGGUAAGGUUAAUAACCUUAUCAAUUGACGUUACCGACAGAAGAAGCACCGGCUAACUCCGUGCCAGCAGCCGCGGUAAUACGGAGGGUGCAAGCGUUAAUCGGAAUUACUGGGCGUAAAGCGCACGCAGGCGGUUGAUUGAGUCAGAUGUGAAAUCCCCGGGCUUAACCCGGGAAUUGCAUCUGCUACUGGUCAGCUAGAGUCUUGUAGAGGGGGGUAGAAUUCCAUGUGUAGCGGUGAAAUGCGUAGAGAUGUGGAGGAAUCCCGGUGGCGAAGGCGGCCCCCUGGACAAAGACUGACGCUCAGGUGCGAAAGCGUGGGGAGCAAACAGG